ensembl:snoRNA
UGCAGCUGAUGUUUUUCUCAUGAUGGUCUUCCAAACCUUGUGGUUAUGACGACGUUGCCAAAUGGCAACACUGCAGUUCC